UACCUCACCUCUUUAUUCUCCUGAACGAAUAUCUAUUGAUCCGUCAUUAACAGACUAAAUACGGCAAGCUGAGCAAAAUGUUUUAUACAUUUAAAAAAAUUAUAGCUACCAUCAACUCAUAACAGUGGUGACAGAAGAAAUAGAUUUGUGUUUCAUCAAUAUUUUGCAAUGAAAGCACUGUCCGUUAUCUUCACCUUUUCAUGUCUAUGAAAUUAGAGACAUGCAUCAGUUGGGGUUGUCACUAGCUGCUGAUAAUUACCGGAUGGAGAAAUUUCGAGAAACACGCAGGUGUUCUAUAAGAUUCAAGCCAUACCGGGAUAAUUCCGGAAAAGUUAAUUAUCGUUGAUGAUUAAUAGAAUACAGAGCGAAGGAAUUAUUGAAGCAGCAAUGGCUAGAAAGACAUACGUCUGUUGUUUCACGAUACACACGAAAAAUCAAUAAAUCUGCCGUUUACAGUGAUAAUUGUCCAAAGAAUCAAGUUUCUAUUUUAAAGCUGUACAUAUGUCCUGUUAUCAUUGGAAUAAAAGUAUGUGGGUUUU